CCUACGGGAGGUAGCAGUGAGGAAUAUUGGUCAAUGGGCGUAAGCCUGAACCAGCCAAGUCGCGUGAGGGAUGAAGGUUCUAUGGAUCGUAAACCUCUUUUAUAAGGGAAUAAAGUGUGGGACGUGUCCUAUUUUGUAUGUCCCUUAUGAAUAAGGAUCGGCUAACUCCGUGCCAGCAGCCGCGGGAGUACGGAGGAUUCAAGCGUUAUCCGGAUUUAUUGGGUUUAACGGGUGCGUAGGCGGCCUUUUAAGUCCGCGGUGAAAGUCUGUGGCUCAACCAUAGAAUUGCCGUUGAAACUGGGGGGCUUGAGUAUGUUUGAGGCAGGCGGAAUGCGUGGUGUAGCGGUGAAAUGCUUAGAUAUCACGCAGAACCCCGAUUGCGAAGGCAGCCUGCCAAGCCAUGACUGACGCUGAUGCACGAAAGCGUGGGGAUCAAACAGGAUUAGAUACCCUUGUAGUC
rnacentral:rRNA from 1 species